rnacentral:rRNA from 1 species
AUGGACGCCGAAUUGAGACAAGUCGCUAAUGGUUUUGACUAUAAGGUUCGUUCAUUUGACAAAUACGACAUCAACGGGUAUCGCUUUCGUACCUAUGGCAAAGAGCUAUCUAUGGCCGACCGAAAGUCUACAAAUUGUUGUGUAUCUGCUAUCGGCGAAGGAGGUACCGAGUAUUAUGGGAGAGUUGAAGCCAUUUAUGAACUUCUAUUCUAUGGUGAAAACCCACCGAAUGUCGUAGUCUUCAAAUGUUAUUGGUUUCAGCCGAAGGAGACUAGAAGGACUCAUGAACAUAUAGGGCUAGUUGAAAUCAACCAAAGCACCCAUUUAGAUGUUCCUGAUGUCUAUAUUACGGCUCAACAGGCGACCCAAGUAUUCUAUCUACCGUGGGCCUGCCAAACUAAUCCAAAUCUGAAAGGUUGGGAUGUCGUUUAUGAAGUGCCGCCACGUGCUAGACUAUCUCCCCCAAAGGAAGAGGAUUAUGAACCUCACAUUAACCCAGACACAUAUGAAGGAGAAUUCUUCCAAGAGACACGUCUUUCCAAAAAGCGUUUCAAGAACCGCUAUACUUCACCCCAAAACAUUGAAGUAGACAGCGAUAGUGAAUCCGACAUCACCCCAGAGGAGGAACAAGAAGAGCCGGAACAAGAAGAGGUUACUGCUGCGGAUGACCUGUCAUUGCUUGACCGAUUACGUCAAGGUGGCCUUCCACAUGUUGAUGCCACUGAACCCUAUGAGCCCGUCAUUGAUUAUAGUGAUGAUGAUGAUUAUGCAUUUAUUGAUGAUACUGAUCGAGAUUAUUAG